GUGUGAUCUGUGAUGUUAUGUCAAGUCAUCACCGGUGUUCCAGUGAUUCCUGUGUCCCCGGUGUUUUUGUUAUUUCCUGGAUUUUGAGUUAACAUUUUGCAAAGGAAUAUUCUGUACCUCAACCCAGGAUGAACCAGUUGCUUUCUGUCAGAGGAUUGGUGUGUUGCAUGUUUCUGCUCUCAGGCCCUGAGUGGGACACUGAGUGUGUUUGGCAUCUGCUGGCCAGAUCCAAUCGCUCCCAAUCAGUAGUAGGAGGAAAAGGUGUGGAUGUGGAUGGAAUGAGGACAGAAAACGGCUGUGUGCCGUCACUCUGCUGCAGGACAAAAUAUGACUGAUGGAUUCCUCAGCCCUGCAGAAAGUGUCAGGGCGACCGCCUCGACCCUCAGGUGAUUCAGUCCUUCUCUGUCUUUUACUGUUCCCUCACUUCUUCAUUUCUCUUUUUUUAUUUUUACUCUUUACCUUCAAGCCAAAGCUAUGAAUAUAAGCAUUUCUCCCAGUUGAGACAAAAAUGUACUUUAACCUGCUUUUCACGA